GCAAGUCGAACGGUGAAGGAGAGCUUGCUCUCCGGAUCAGUGGCGAACGGGUGAGUAACACGUGAGCAAUCUGCCCCUGACUCUGGGAUAACAGUUGGAAACAGCUGCUAAUACCGGAUACGAGCUUCGAAGGCAUCUUCAGAAGCUGGAAAGAACUUCGGUCAGGGAUGAGCUCGCGGCCUAUCAGCUAGUUGGUGAGGUAAUGGCUCACCAAGGCGUCGACGGGUAGCCGGCCUGAGAGGGUGACCGGCCACACUGGGACUGAAAAACGGCCCAAACUCCUACGGGAGGCAGCAGU
rnacentral:rRNA from 1 species